AUACGGAGGGUGCGAGCGUUAAUCGGAAUUACUGGGCGUAAAGCGCGCGUAGGCGGCUUUGUAAGUCGGAUGUGAAAGCCCUGGGCUCAACCUGGGAAUGGCAUUCGAUACUGCAGAGCUAGAGUAUGGUAGAGGGAAGUGGAAUUUCCGGUGUAGCGGUGAAAUGCGUAGAUAUCGGAAGGAACACCAGUGGCGAAGGCGACUUCCUGGGCCAAUACUGACGCUGAGGUGCGAAAGCGUGGGGAGCAAACAGGAUUAGAAACCCCAGUAGUCC
rnacentral:rRNA from 1 species